rnacentral:rRNA from 1 species
CCUACGGGAGGCAGCAGUGGGGAAUAUUGGACAAUGGGGGGAACCCUGAUCCAGCGACGCCGCGUGAGUGAAGAAGUAUUUCGGUAUGUAAAGCUCUAUCAGCAGGGAAGAAAAUGACGGUACCUGACUAAGACGCCCCGGCUAACGACGUGCCAGCAGCCGCGGUCAUACGUAGGGGGCAAGCGUUAUCCGGAUUUACUGGGUGUAACGGGAGAGUUGACGGUGCCGAAAGUCUGGUGUGAAAAGUCGGGGCCCAACACCGGGACUGCAUUGGAAACUGUUGAACUGGAGUACAGGAGAGGUCAGCGGAAGUCCUAGUGUAGCGGUGAAAUGCGUAGAUAUUAGGAGGAACACCAGUGGCGAAGGCGGCUUACUGGACUGUAACUGACGUUGAGGCUCGAAAGCGUGGGGAGCAAACAGGAUUAGAUACCCUUGUAGUC